GCUUCUUGUAACACGGUCGCUCGCACUUAAGUUAAAUGUGGUCGACCACUUUUGCGUCGCGUAGAAAAAGGACGACUGACUUUGCCACCUUUCGAAAGAACUGGCGCGGUAUUGGUUCUCCCUGAUGCGGUCGCGUGCUGCUGUUGCUGCUUGCCGGGCGCCUUUAACAUGUUUUCGGCUCGCUUUGUCUGUGCGUGUGUGCGCGCUCGCGCUCGGCUCGAUUCGUGUGUGUGCGUGCGCUCAGCUCAGCUCGCUUUGUGUGUGUGUGUGUGUGUGUGUGUGUGUGUGUGUGUGUGUGCGUGCAUGCGUGCGUGUGUGUGUGUGCAUGCGUGCGUCUUGCGCGCGCAUACAUGCCGGUUUGUAUGGGCCGGCGUGCUUGCGUGUGUCUAGUGCGUACGUGUUUUGUGAGCGUGUUUCUGUGUGGGUCACUGUGUGUGCGUCCACGUGUUAGCGUGUCUGCCUGCAUGUAUGUGUGAUUGUUUGUGUUUAUCAAUGUGCGCGUGCGUGCCUUUGUGUCUGCGCUUUGAGAGUGCGUAUAUUUGUGUGCGUGCGUAUGUAUUGCAUAAGGCCGGUAGAAUUUUACUCGCAAUAAAACUCUUCCAAUUUGGUGCAGCGAGUGUUGCCGCCUGAAAGCCGAGUUUGGUUUCAAGCCAACCUGGACAACUGCUGUAUGAGGCGCUGUUUCUCAGGAGGAUCAGUGGGAAGGCGUCAGGUCAUGCAGAUGAUAGCAUCAAUUUCACAAUGCCCAGCCUUGGUGCCCUCCAUUAAGAGCAAGCCACUUGCGUUCGCCUUCAGGCAGAUGGUUGAUGUCUUCUAGGAAGCAGUUGGGAAGACUACAUUGAUGCAAGAUUCCAGCAAUGCCAUGCGCUGCAUUUAUUGGUCAAGAUGCUCAGAGAAUGGAGUCCCUGCACCUCGUGGUGAAACGUGAACAUUUUCUUUCUUUUGGAAAGCUAAACGUCAUUUGCUGUAUCAAUUGCAUUCUUGCAGCUCAGAUGUGUACUAUAUUUUUUCUAAUUUUGAAUCAAUUAAUAUUCACUUUUCUGUAUAAAAACGACGUACAGUGUGAAGGACAAGGACUGCGAGAGAUGACAUACACUGCGCUGACUUCCAACAAUAUUUUAUUGCGUUGCCACAUCGUGUGUUUAUACACAAGAAGGGCCAUGCGCAGAAAAUUAAAGGCAGUCGCAAGGGGUGUUCUAACAGCAAGUCAUUGUACUAAGAACAUGGUCACUAAAAAAAAAUCACAAUUUCUAUCUGUGGAGAUACAAGACUUCACUAGGGGUCAGCGUGAUAGAGGGGGCACUAACCCACACACUACCCAUUUUUCUGGUGAAAUAAGCAUCAAUAAUGUACCGGGUGAGCUGUGUUUCGCUAGAACUUGCGUAUCUUCAAAGAGGGGCAUGCAGCGGCAGUCCCGGCAAUGAAUGCCCAAGUGGCCUUGAACAGUGUUAUGGACGUUAUAGUGCACUUUUAAACGAUCAUUUAGGCACCUGCCUGUCCGUCCAACAUAUUUACUGCCUCAAAACGGGAAUAUGGUAAACCACAUUCGUUACACAUAUCGCAAAACGUUUUCUGUGCCCGACAGAGCAAGAACUCUGACACGAUUUAGGCGCGUUUACACGCUUAUAGAGCUUUGCCAGCUUUUCCGGGGCUGAGAAAAGGACUGGGAUUCCUGGAGGUUGCCAAAUCUUUUUUUAGCCUAUCGGACACAUCAUGCACAUACGGUAGCACUGCGAACCAGUCUUUCAACCGGCUGGUUCCUUGACUGAGUGCGCUCAUCACGUUUUGUGCCCUUCAGAAGCUGUUCUGCUAUGGCUGAAAUUAAGGCCAAAGGGUAGCCAGCCCAAGAAAGGCGAUCAACCUGUGCAGCAAGACUAUCUUGCAUUUCAUGUGAGCAAGAUUUAUUGAGGCUGUUAACGAGGCAAAUCUUUACAAUACCUCGUUUAACAAGCUUUGAAUGUGCAGAGUUAAAGGGCAAGAGUGACUUUUUACUUCUCGGUUCAAAGCACUAGCCCACCUGUUUAUUUGUAAGGCACUGCCUGAGAUCAAGAAAGCGCAAAGAAUCGUCAGUGGGGACCUCAUUUGUUAGUUCUAGAGGCUGCAGCUCUUAAAGAUCUCCAAGUCUCCCAAGCAGCAGGCUCAAAAGCAUGAUCAGUGCAAUCAAUAAAUACCAGGUAGUCGUCCACAAACUUGCACACUUUGACAACGAGAGACGCAUCUAGGGGACCUUGAAUAUUUCAAUCAUGAUUAGCUAGAUAAAUAUCACUCAGUGGCGGCGCCAGGCACGAUCCUGCACAAUAUACAAAUAAAUGGUACUUGUAUAGGAUCAUGCCUGGCGCCGCCACUAUGUUAUAUUUAUCUCGCUCAUCAUGAUUGCAAUAUUGAAGGUCACCUAGAUGCGUCUCCUGUCAAAGUGUGCAGGUUUGUGAAUGACCACGUGGUAUUCAUUGAUUGCGCUGAUCACGCUUUCGAGCCUGUUGCUUCGGGAGUCUUGGAGAUGUUUAAGAAAGCCUCUACAACUAACGCAUGAGGUCCCCAUUGAUGAUUCCUCGCGCUUUGUAGAUCUCAGGCUGGUGCUUCGAUCUAAGAAGUAAUAAGUCACUCUUGCUCUUUAACUCUGCACACUCAAAGCUCGUUAAAUGAGGUAUUAAAAGUUUUCCCUCGUUAACAGCCUCAAUAAAUCUUGUUCACACAAGAUGCAACAUAGUCUUGCUGCACAGGUUGAUCACCUUUCUAGGGUUGACUACCCUUUGGCCUUAAUUUCAGCCAUAGUGGAACAGCUUCUGAGGGGCACAAACCGUGAUGAGCCCGCUCAGUCAAGGAACCAACCGGUUGAAAGACAUAGGUUCGCAGUGCCACCGGUGGGUAUGUGCAUGAUGUCUCCGAUAGGCUAAAAAAGAUUCGGCAACCUCCAGAAAUCACAGGCCUUUUCUCAACUCGAGAAAAGCUGGCAAAGCUCUGUAAGUGUGUAAACGCGCCCAAAUCACGUCAGAGUUCUUGCUCUGUCGGGCACAGAAAACGUUUUGCGAAUUGUGCAACGAAUUUGGUUUACCAUAUUCCCCUAUUUUGAGGCAGUAAAUAUGUUGGACGGACAGGCAGGUGCCUAAAUGAUCGUUUAAGAGAGCACUAUAACGUCCAUAACACUGUUCAAGGCCACUUGGGCAUCCAUUGCCCCGGGACUGUGACUGCGAGCCCUCUUAGAAUAUACGGAAGUUCUAGUGAGACACAGCUAACAGGUCAUCCGGGAAACUAUAGAAGCAAAUUUCACCAGAAAACUGGGUAGUGUGUGCGUUAGUGCCCCCUCUAUCACGCUGACCCUAGUGAAGUCUUGUAUCUCAAAAGAUAGAAAUUGUAAUGUUUUUUUUUUCAGGUGACCACGUCCUUAGUACAAUGACUUGCUGUUAGACGCCCCUUGUGACUCAUUUUCUGCGCAUGCCCGCUCUUGUAUACGUACACACAAUGUGGCAACACAAUAAAAUAUUAUUAGAAGUCAGCGCAGUCUAUGUCGUCUCUCGCAGUCCUUGUAAUUCACGCUGUACGUAAUUUUUUCGCAUUAAUUGCCAACUAUCCCAAGAAAGCACCUUUUUCAGUAUAUUUAUAAUGUUUGAUACGACCAUUUGCUGGCAAAUGUUAACAGUGUGAUAUUUAACUUGAACUUUUACAUGACUGCCUGUGCCUGUGUUCUUUUAGUAACCAGAGUAUGGCUAAUUUAUUUAACCACAUUUGCUAAUUUGUAUACUCACAUGCUACAGCAAGCCCUAAUCUUGUAUUACUGCAUCUAAGUGCAAAUAAUUUAGAAAUUUACUAUGUAUUUUAAAACACUGUCCACCUUUCGUGUUCAGCAAAAUUGUUUAAUCAACAGUGGUUUGCUUUUAUCAGGCCUUUUACUGCACCUUGCAACCACACAAUAGUAAAUGUGGAAUACUCAUUCUUGAUUUAUGGUAAGAAAAGAACCUAUUUUCAAACUGCAUAUUGUAUAUGUACCAGUGCCUUCGGGUUACAAGACAGAAAUUUAUAGAAACUGGAAUUGUAGUUAGAAAAUCUCCUACACAGCACUUUUAGCACAGAGAACUCUCGUUUCACAAAAGAGGACAAACUAUGUAGGCACUAAAAAAUUCUACAUAUUGCUCGUGCUCAAGUAAUCUUGUUCGAAAGAGAAAAUUAGCAAUAAUACUGCUGGCUUAAACCUCACUUAAAGCACGUCUAUGCUUGGAAAGUAUUGUUUCAGUCCGAAAAAUGUUGGCCAGUUAUGCUUACAUCGACUUUCCAAACUUUUCAUAAUGCUUUGCGAUUACAUUAGUGUACAAAGUAACAGGUGUCUUGUGCAUUUGCUCUGCAUUUCAAUUACUCCCCUAAUUCACCUUUGCAAUGUCCCUUUUUUUUUUUUUCAAGGCUUCAAAACUUGAAUUUUCGUUCAUUGAGCCUUAUACUGAAAAUUUAUUCCUUUAUGUGGCCCAAAACACUGCGAGGUCAACUCAGGCUCUUUCAGUGCUGCAAUACAUAGUUUCUUCUCUAAUAACAGAUUUGAUCAAUACUUAUAUUUUGGAUACCUUUGUGGGAAGUGUACAUGAUCUUGUACUUACCGAUGUGUUUGGUGAUUGUGCAUGUUUAUAUUUCAUGUGAUUUAUGUAUAUAUUGUACUCUGUAUUGCAGCAUGCAAUAAAUAUAUUUACAUUUUUCUUGAAAAUGCCAUA